AUGAUCAUGUCACAUUGAAACACUGUUUCUCGUACGAUUACCGAAGUUAAGCAACAUCGAGCCUGGUAAGUACCUAGAUGGGCAAACGCUUGGAGACGCCAUGUGCUGUAAG